UGAGACAGUUCUACACAGCGGUCAUCGAAUCAGUCGUGUGUUCUUCCAUCACAGUCUGGUUUGGUGCUGCUACAAAAAAGGACAAACUCCGACUGCAACGGACAAUCAAAACUGCUGAAAGGAUUGUCGGUACCCCCCCUACCCACCAUUGAGGACUUGCACACUGCCAGAACUAAGACAAGAGCGUGCAAAAUCCUCUCGGACCCUCCGCACCCCGGUCACCAGCUCUUCCAGCUCCUUCCCUCAGUGGGGGACAAAGUGGACACGACGAGAAGCCAUCAAGGAGGCUGUUUGGCUGAGGUCUGAGUCGGUUGGUGAUCAGUGGCUCGUCGGAACAUGAAUCUAAGAACAAAGACUUCCCUGUGGUGACAGACAACAGAUUGCCCCAAGAAGGUCUGCGUUGUCUCCUUUUGAGCUCACGGCUCGGCUGGGGGAGGAAAGAUGAUUGAUGACUGUUCAGCAAAGAACAAUCUCCCUCUCAUCACCUUUUAAAAGGAGUGGUCAUUUCUCAUUGAUGGAACACAGACAUCCCCCAGCGGUGACCGAAAACACUGCAAGAUGGACUCCUUGUGACUGUAACCCGAGUAUUAUAGAAUGAACAAUAAAAUUAAGGAAAUGCCACUCCGGUACAAACUUGUACCAGUCUGCAUGACUACCCUGAGUGUCCGCCUUGAUUUCUGUGUCAUUAAUAGAUAGAUUCUGCAGGUUUUUCGAUGACUCUGUUCACGAGCACUGUGCCACAGGGUUACAAGCAUGAAAUAUAUGAAUCAUGUGACAAAGAACAGAUGACAUAGUGUUGUGUUGGACAGUAUUAUUUGAUCUGCCAGACCCCAGACUGAAACAAGUUCAUUCUUGUAUUUAAUCUCUGCUUGAGAUAGUUUCAAAAUUGGGAACCAUUUUGAAUAGAAAGGGGAGUCUGCCCAUGAUUAUGGCGCGCACGCAUAAUUAAGAUACUUAGAGAAGAAACCGAGAUGGAGUCGAAUUUGGACAUUAAGGUGGACGUGACGCGGAGGACAGCUGUCCACCGCCAAAAUGUGGCCAAAACAGGCGGAGGAGCUACAUGUAACUACGCUACAUGUUCAGGGAUUCGUCCCGGCAUCACUGGUGUCACAGAGGAGGAGUCGUCCACCGUCCACCUCCGGUGUCCCCAGCGUCUCAGACACAAUUACGCUUCAACAACGGGCUGCUGCUGAACCCGUGCAGACUGAUAAAGA